UGCAUUAACAUGAACCUUAUCUGAAAUCCGGUAUUAUAACUUGACGCAGAUAUACAUGCUGCUAGAUCCAAUCCAAAAUCKAUCCAAUUAACACACUAAUCUAAAUUGAAAUAAUUACAGUAACCGUACUGAAGGCAUGACUUAUAUAAACUAACGUUAUCAUGGAGAGACCCCAGUGAGGCUGUUGAACAUAGAGAGCCACAAAGUUUUCUCACAGCAGUUGAUUCAUUAAACCCAACAGGUUCUACGGAUGGUUGGAAGUGGAUCAAAUCAAAAGAGAGAAAAAAAACAAGAGAAAAAUCGCUUCAGUGUCUGAGCUUCCAUUAGAAAAACCAUACAUCGACACGCGUGUCCUGCAGACUGCCACGCGGUAUCGGUGUGUGUGUUGGGUGUUACGUUUAAGCUUUGACAAGAACGAAGCAUGUCCAACGCUCCUGCUUGGAAACCCAACUUUUCUCUUUUCUCUUUUCUCUGUGAAGGAAAUCAAAAACAAUGGCAAGCCCAAAAAGAGUAGAUGUCAACCUAGAACCAGACGCUUCUGACUUUGCAUUUCCGGCGGCCGGAGAACUAAAUCCCGGCAAGGCAAASGACUUUCCGGUCAACCCUACUUCAUCCGAAGUCGUUGCUAUGUCUAACAAACUCAAGGAAGAAGAAGUGAGAGAGCAGAAGAAGAAAAAGAAAGAAAAAGAAAAGAAGGAAGCAGCGGAGAGGUUCAAAUCAACUAUUAUAAUGUCCGGAAUGGUUGUUGCUGUGGUCGGCGCCAUCUUUGCCAUUACCAAUAAGCUGAGAGAAAAAUGAAAUCCCAUGGCCAGAACCAGAAAACCAGUAACCUCAACAAUUAUCUCUCUUUUUUUUUCUAUUUUACUUUUUCUUUAAUCCAGUGAGCUAGCUUAAGGUGUUUUUGAUAGGAUGAAGUUUAAAGCUUUUUUUAUUUUCUGGGUUGCAAGGAAAGAAUUUUGAUGGAGUCGUUUUAAUUUGGUCCGACUUUCUCCACCUUAGGUAAGAUUCUAAUCCGAUUAUGUAGUUAUGUAUAUUUAUAAAUCUCGAGCUAGUUUUUCCUUYAUUUAUUCUUUUCCGCUUAUGCAUUAAUCCGGAUAAAUAAUUUUUCAAAAAGUGGAGCAAAAUUCUAAAUACGGGGAAAUUCUAAGUCAAAUAUCCCUGUUUUGCAUGACAAGGUUGUGUUUAUUUAUUUAUUUUUUGGUGAAAGGUUUGUGUUUCUUAUUUAA